UCUCAGUUCGGAUUGAAGGCUGAAAUUCGCCUACAUGAAGUUGGAAUUGCUAGUAAUGGCAGGUCAGCAUACUGCCGUGAAUACGUUCCCGGGCCCUUGUACACACCGCCCGUCACACCAUGAGAGUUGGAGAUACCCGAAGCCUGUGAGCUAACUUUUUAAGAGGCAGCAGUCGAAGGUAGAAUCAAUGAUUGGGGUGAAGUCGUAACAAGGUAAC
rnacentral:rRNA from 1 species